UGACUGAUAUAAUGACUGAUAUAGUGACUGAUAUAGAGACUGAUAUGGUGACUGAUAUAAUGACUGAUAUAGAGACUGGAUAUAGUGACUGAUAUAGCACUGUAUUCCUCGUUAUAGUGACUGAUAGUGACUGAUAUAGCACCUUAUUCCUCGUUAUAGAGACUGAUAUAGUGACUGAUAUAGACUGAUAUAGUGACUGAUAUAAUGACUGUAUAGUGCUGAUAUAGCACCUUAUUCCUCGUUAUAUGGACUGAUAUAGCACCUUAUCUUCCCGUUAUAGUACUGUAUAGUGACUGAAGUAGACUUAUUCCCGUUAUA
rnacentral:lncRNA from 1 species